rnacentral:rRNA from 1 species
AGUGGCGGACGGGUGAGUAACACGUUGGAACCUGCCCCAAAGUGAGGAAUAAGCCACCGAAAGGUGGUCUAAUACUUCAUAAUAUCCAUCUCGUAUGGAUUAAAGCUUUAUGCGCUUUGGGAGGGGCCUGCGUAACAUUAGCUUGUUGGUGAGGUAAAAGCUCACCAAGGCUUCGAUGUUUAACUGGUUUGAGAGGAUGACCAGUCACACUGGGACUGAGAUACGGCCCAGACUCCUACGGGAGGCAGCAGUAAGGAAUCUUCCACAAUGGGGCAACCCUGAUGGAGCAAUACCGCGUGCAGGAUGAAGCGUUUCGGCGUGUAAACUGCUUUUAUCACCGAAGAUUAUGACUGUAGGUGAAGAAUAAGGACCGGCUAACUACGUG